CUGUGGCCCAGCUCCAGCUCGUGAAAUGAAGGACGACCCGUAUCCUCCCCGUAGCAAAAAAAGCUUCGCUCCAUUAUCCUCCCCCUUCACCCGUUGCGAUAGGGUUUCGCGACGCGGCUGCGUCCGGCGUCGCCGUGAGGAUGGCGCGGCUGCAUCGGGCGGCACGGGAAGGGAUGGCGCGACAGCGACGAGGAGGUAGCACAGCUACCUUGGGCGGCACGGGGAGGGACGGCGCGGGUGCUAGGAGGCAGGGCGGUGAGAUUGUUGGGUUCGCGAGCUCGCGGACGAUGACGUCCUCCACAACAUCCCGGCCUGAGGCGGCCACGAGUGCUCGCGAGCUCGCCGACAACGAGGUUCUCCACUACACCAUCCCAUCAGUACCAAUGUACCACCACCGCGCCUCCGUUAUCAAUCGCCACCACCGCCCUUCGCCGAGGUUACCGUGCCUUUACUGCUAUGACUACUAAGGCUCCUCAUUCCCCUGGCUCAUGCGCAGAUUAGUGAUAAAGAUGCCAUGACCUCAAUUGGUGAUGAUGGCGUGGUAGACAUUGAUUCCUCUAUUUCAUUAGAAACAACAUGUUAUGCAAUGAAAGAACUUGUUUCCAUGGGACUGGUGCGCAGCAUUGGAAUCAGCUAACAGAAAUGCUAACAGAUGAAGGAAACUCACGCACUCAUAGCUGCGCAUCAGUCAUUAAGCAAUACAAUUUGCAGAGCUUGGCUGAGAAGCACGGCAAGAUGUUGGCGCAGCUUGUCCUUCGGUGGGGUUUGUAGCAUAAUAUGGUGGUAAUCCCCAUGACCUCCAAGGCACAGUAAUACAUUAGCACACCACUUAACCUUCACUCAUUCGGACAUGUUUAGUUUCAAGUGGGAGCAAUUGCCAAAUGAGGACAGGAGCUUGCAUAUGUAUGUAAUUGUGAUGUGAACAUGUCUGGCUUUUAAUCUCUCUUAAAGGGAGCAUUGUAAUCUGGUUAGAAAUAUAACUAUAGGCUUGUUUGGCACAGCUCAACUUCACUAGUAAAGCUGUUUUUUUUUAGAAAAUAGCUUCAUGAGUGACUUUUUAGAUAAAGCUGAGCUAUUUUGUAAAAAGUGUUUGGCAAAAUAGCUUCACGAACUACUUCAUACAUAGCUGAGAGAGAGAAAUGAGAGAGAGGGAGCUGCAAUAAGCUACUUUUUCCAGCUUCAUCCCAACUUAUGUCUUUGUGAGAGGAGGGGGAAAAAUAACUUCACCUAUGAAGCUGUUUUGGAAAUAAAUGUUUGGCAAAUAAAACAGCUCACAACAGCUUCAAACAGGCCCUGUAUGUCUGCAAGAUUAAAAUAUUUGGAGUAUAUAGUGUUAAGUGUGC